rnacentral:rRNA from 1 species
GGGAAAGAUGAAAAGAACUUUGAAAAGAGAGUUAAAAAGUGCUUGAAAUUGUUGAGAGGGAAGCGAUUGGAGGGUGUGAGUGCGUCUAGGCUUAUGCGUCUCUAACGAGCCGCUGUAUGUGCUAGAUGCUGGUCAGCAUGGGUUAGUCGGGCGGGAUAACAGCACGGGUUGAUACCGUGUCUAUGCCGCCUGAUUGAUCAAGGUGUGAAUGGCGCUUAGUCCUUCGGGAACUGCGUCAUCAAGAUGCUGGCAGAAGCCCUUCAAUCGGCCCGUCUUGAAACACGGACCAAGGAGUCUAACAUGUAUGCGAGUUGGUGGGUGGAAAACCCAUGAAGCGCAAGUAACCUGACUGGUGGGAUGGCCUGUGCCUGCACCAUCGACCGACCAUGAUCUUCUGUGAAAGGUUUGAGUGCGAGCAUACCUGUUGGGACCCGAAAGAUGGUGAACUAUGCCUGAGCAGGGUGAAGCCAGAGGAAACUCUGGUGGAGGCUCGUAGAUGUGCUGACGUGCAAAUCGCUUUUCGGACUUGGGUAUAGGGGCGAAAGACUAAUCGAACCAUCUAGUAGCUGGUUCCCUCCGAAGUUUCCCCCAGGAUAGCUGGAGCUUUUAUGAGUACCGUCAGGUAA